rnacentral:piRNA from 1 species
UGCAGUUUCAAGAUUGACCAGUGCCGUUG